GCCUGGGUGGCUCAGUGGGUUGAGCAUCCGACUUCGGCUCAGGUCAUGAUCUCACGGUUUGUGGGUUCGAGCCCCGCGUCGGGCU
rnacentral:tRNA from 1 species